UACGCAGGGGGCUAGCGUUAUCCGGAUUUACUGGGUGUAAAGGGAGCGUAGACGGAAUUGCAAGUCUGAUGUGAAAAUCCGGGGCCCAACCCCGGAACUGCAUUGGAAACUGUAUUUCUAGAGUGUCGGAGAGGCAAGUGGAAUUCCUGGUGUAGCGGUGAAAUGCGUAGAUAUCAGGAGGAACACCAGUGGCGAAGGCGGCUUGCUGGACGAUGACUGACGUUGAGGCUCGAAAGCGUGGGGAGCAAACAGG
rnacentral:rRNA from 1 species